GACGAACGCUGGCGGCGUGCUUAACACAUGCAAGUCGAACGGAAAGGCCCUGCUUUUGUGGGGUGCUCGAGUGGCGAACGGGUGAGUAACACGUGAGUAACCUGCCCUUGACUUUGGGAUAACUUCAGGAAACUGGGGCUAAUACCGGAUAGGAGCUCCUGCUGCAUGGUGGGGGUUGGAAAGUUUCGGCGGUUGGGGAUGGACUCGCGGCUUAUCAGCUUGUUGGUGGGGUAGUGGCUUACCAAGGCUUUGACGGGUAGCCGGCCUGAGAGGGUGACCGGCCACAUUGGGACUGAGAUACGGCCCAGACUCCUACGGGAGGCAGCAGUGGGGAAUAUUGCACAAUGGGCGGAAGCCUGAUGCAGCAACGCCGCGUGCGGGAUGACGGCCUUCGGGUUGUAAACCGCUUUCGCCUGUGACGAAGCGUGAGUGACGGUAAUGGGUAAGAAGCACCGGCUAACUACG
rnacentral:rRNA from 1 species